UUCAAAAUUGUAAUAUCAAUACAAAAUGAAAAUUUUCAAAUUGUUUAUUAAUUCAAAAGGUUGAAGAAAGAUAUACAGGAAUCAAUUUUGGAAAAUGUUAUAUAAUGUACUCCUUUAAAUUGGAGAGAAAGAGCCUAUAUCGACCAUCAAUCCUUGGGAGAAUCAGUGUAACGUGGUGCAAAUAAACCCAAAAUAUCCUCAAAAUUUCUCCAGUCCCAGAUAAAUAAAAAUUAAGCCAAGAUCACCAGGCUAAAUAACAGAGGAAUUCAAAUGCAUAAGAUGGAUGAUAUAUGAAAUCUGUCAUUCCGUUUGCAUCACCUUGAAAAAUAUUAUAUCAUAUCAGCGACCCACAUCAUAAAGAACACAUAUCCACCAUUGGCAUACAAUUCUAAGUCUGCUUUUUAACUAUGCCCGUCCAUCCUUCUGUUGAAAUCCAUCGAUUUUAAAGUACAGUGAUUUAAAUGUCUGAACUGAACUAUCCAGUUCUCGAAACCUAGAAAAUAAUGCAAGUUCAUUCUAGCAUACAACAGAAAGAAGGAUGUUGUUAAAUCAACAAUAAAAAACAUGAAUAUUUUAAAGAAGUUAGGUUCCGAAGGAAUGGGCCAAUAUUGUCCAUUUCCUAUCGGACCCACAUAAAUACCAUAUUAAUAUUAUGACGUGUCAAGUUUGGACUAUAUUGGUUAUUCCCAUCACUUUAUAUAAGAUAUGUCAUAAUUUUUAGAAAAUGUUGAAAUGCGCGUUUGGUGCCAGAUAUAGUCGAUCGAAAUAUUCCAUUUUUAUACUUUAUCUAAUACAGAUAAAAUAUUGGCAUGGUCGAACAUUUGUAUCCAAUUUCAUGCCAAUUAAUAAAUUCCAUAUUCAUCUCA